rnacentral:tRNA from 1 species
GCCGGGAUGGCGGAACUGGCAGACGCGCAGGUCUCAAAAACCUGUGACUCGUAAGAGUCGUGUGGGUUCGACCCCCUCUCCCGGCA